rfam:Tupaia chinensis contig183135, whole genome shotgun sequence.
AUCCUCUGGCUCCCUUUUUCAUUGUAUCUCAACCUGGUCUUGGUGGUCGUACAAGGAGGGAAAGAAACACUGAAGCUGGCCCCUGGUGGUGUAACUUGGCUGGCUGCACCCUGAGGUUGGUUUCAGACCCUC